UGAAGCACCAUAUGUAUUGUACAUAGUUUCUAGUUUAUCAUCUGAAGUGUAUGGUCUGGUAUAUUUUUCAUGACAAAAUUCAUUAUCUGGUGACAAAACUUAAGCCUGCUGUACAAACAAGAAGUAAGUUGAAGCUAGUUUGCAGUAGUUGAAGAUAAGCAUUAUCUGUGUUUUUUGUUUUGUUAGUGUUUCAGAAUCCUGAAUUGGAGUCCCUGGAUUUGGCACAAAGUCUGAGUUGUAGCUACAAUGUGAUGUGCUUUGUAGCACAAUUCCUAAUUCUAUCCAAGUGGUGUACAGAAAGUCAUUGCCUUCUUUACACCUGCUUGAUCUCCAUGUAUCAGAAAUUCACAACCGCCUUUUCAAUGCUCAGGAAUCUAGUUUUAGGGUGCAGAUUUUGUGAUUUUUGGCACUAUUUUAAAAUUGGGAGGAAUGCUGUUUGCACUACAAUAUGGCAAGUUUGUUACGCCAUAUUGACGGAAGUGACUCAUGUAUGGUUACAGGAUCCUACAGAUAUAAAAUGGUAAAACAUUUGACAUGUGCACACAAGUCCUGAAUCUGUACAGGUGCAGUAAAGUAGAAAGCAAAUGGCUUAUCCAUUAUGGAAGUUCAUCUAAGGCUUGUGAAGGCGUAUAAGGAGUCUGCCCUUUCAUUUCCAACUGUUAUGAAAAAGGAGCUGAAUUCAAAUGUGGUCAUAUUUUUCAUUCUGAAAAUCCGCAUGAAGAACAUCCCAAAAGUGCAACCUUAGAUGAAGAUAUCUAGAAUGUGUCCACUAACAUUUUGUGUUUUUUAGUGAUGUCUUAUUCGAAGAAAGCAUACGUUAGAUGAAGAAUGAGUCAAUCUAUAAUAGUUUAAAUUUGAGAGAUCUUUGUGCCAACCAAAAGCAGAUGAAAAACACGUAUCUCAGCAACACUAUGUGAUCAAAAAUAUCCAGACAUCUGGCUGAAAAUGAUUGACAAGUUCAUGGCAACCUCCAUUGGUAAUGCUGGGGUUUGCCCACCCUCAGCCUUGAUGGCAUCUUCCACCCUUGCAGACAUACAUUCAAUCAGAUGCUGGAAGGUUUCUUGGGGAAUGGCAGCCCAUUCUUCACGGAGUGCUGCACUGCGUAGAGCUACCGAUAUCGGUCAGUGAGGCCUGGCAUGAAGUCAGCAUUCCAAAACAUCCAAAAGGUGUUCUACAGGAUUCAGGUCAGGACUCUGGGCAGGCCUGUCCAUUACAGGGAUGUUAUUGUCAUAUAAUGACUCCACCACAGGCCGUGCAUUAUGAACAGGUGCUCGAUCGUGUUGAAAGAUGCAAUUGCCAUCCCCGAAUUGCUCUUGAACAGUGGGAAGCAAGAAUGUGCUUAAAACAUCAAUGUAGGCCUGUGCUGUGAUAGUGCCACACAGAAACACCACCACCUCCAAAUUUUACUGUUGGCACUACACACACUGGUAGAUGACGUUCACCAGGCAUUCGCCAUACCCACACCUUGCCAUUGGAUUGCCACAUUGUGUACUGUGAUUCGUCACUCCACCCAAUGUUUUUCCACAGUUCAAUUGUCCAAUGUUUACGCUCCUUACACCAAGUGAGGCAUCGUUUGGCAUUUACGGGCAUGAUGUGAGGCUUACGAGCAGCCACUUGACUAUGAAAUCAAAGUUUUCUCACCUUCCACCAAACUGUCACAGUACUUGCAGUGGAUCCUAAUGCAGUUUGGAAUUCCUGUGUGAUGGUCUGGAUAGAUAUCUGCCUAUUCAACUGUCAGCGGUCUCUGUCAGUCAACAGACGAGGUCGACUUGUACACUUUUGUGCUGCACAUGUCCCUUUACAUUUCCACUUCACUAUCACAUUGGAAACAGUGGACCUAGGGAUGUUUAGGAGUGUGGAAAUCUCGCAUACAGACCUAUGACACACGACACCCAAUCACCUGACCACAUUCAAAGUCCGUGAGUUCUGCGAAGUGCCCCAUUCUGCUCUCACGAUGUCUAAUGACUAGAGAGGUUACUGAUAUGGAGUACCGGGCAGUAGGUGGCAGCACAAUGCACCUAAUAUGAAAACAGUAUGGUUUUGGGGAUCCAGAUACUUUUGAUCACAUAGUGUAUGUUUGGACUAUGCAUAAAUCUGUUAUUGUGGAUAAGACAUGGGGAAGUUGCAUUCAUGGGUUUGAAAGGAUCUGGUCAGUGUUUUCUGAGGCAGAAAAGGAAGUAGUCUUAUUGAUCAAAAUAACUGGUGAACACUACAUCAGUCUCCUGGGACAACUAGAUGAAACAGUACAUUAAAAGGGAUCCUAGAAUUGAAAUCUUUUCAUCACAAGAAUGCACCUGCCCUCACUGAUGCUUCUGGAGGAGGAAAACAGAGGGAUUUGAGGUGUGAAAUGUUGAAACAUUUAUCCUGCUGCAUCCUCCAAUGUCCCCCUGUUCGUACUUCUAAAGACUUUUGUUGCUAGAAAAUGUUUUGAGACAGGACUGACCAGUUCUCAAUCUCGUAACGUUAUUUGCUAGACCUAGACCCAGCCAAGAGUUGCUUAUUUUCGCAAGGUGCUUGCCCCUGACAACUACUUGGAGGCAGUGGCAAAUAACCAAAUAACAUUACUGCUCUGCUGCAUACCACGAAUACUGAUUGUUGUCAGAAUGAAACUGUCUUAUUAUUAACCACAAUAUAGGCACACAGUAGUUAAUUUUGAUAAACAUUAACCCUAGCAAUACCAAAACAUUUUCAAUAAUGUAUACCACCAAUAGGAGCACAUAAACUGUUAAUUGUAAUUGAGUGUUAUUAACAACGUGCGUUUUCAAGAGAUACUGAUGUGCAAGUAAGAUUCAGAACCAGGAAAUAUCUUUCAGUGCUAUUAUUUAUUCAAUAAGACGUUCAUUGCACUAUCUCAAUUACAUCAAUCUUUGGAUUAAUUUUAAUUGUAAACCGUAAAACAAUGAUAGAAUCUGGUAGAAGAAUUCAUUAAAGAAAUAUUUUUCAAAAUUUUUAGUUUAUGACUAGAUUACAAUAUUUACAAAAGGUGGGCAUAAUGUACUCCCACUGCUAUUGCUUGGGUUAAUGAAUUCAUAAGGCAAAGAAGCUAUCAACUCAGUUGUAUUUAAUGUACCGUCAGUUCAUCUUUCGGCUUAAGAGAGAUCUCAUCAAAAUGUAAUUACUGUCAUUAAUGGUUAUAGAGUAUUAAUUUUCCGAUGCUCAUAUUUCAUUUCUCCAGUUUGUUAUCUUAAGUCUCAUAUUUUGUAAGUGGUGAAUAUUUUGUAAGUGGUAAAC